rnacentral:rRNA from 1 species
UGGGGAAUUUUGGACAAUGGGCGAAAGCCUGAUCCAGCAAUGCCGCGUGUGUGAAGAAGGCCUUCGGGUUGUAAAGCACUUUUGUCCGGAAAGAAAUCCUUGGCUCUAAUACAGUCGGGGGAUGACGGUACCGGAAGAAUAAGCACCGGCUAACUACGUGCCAGCAGCCGCGGUAAUACGUAGGGUGCAAGCGUUAAUCGGAAUUACUGGGCGUAAAGCGUGCGCAGGCGGUUUGCUAAGACCGAUGUGAAAUCCCCGGGCUCAACCUGGGAACUGCAUUGGUGACUGGCAGGCUAGAGUAUGGCAGAGGGGGGUAGAAUUCCACGUGUAGCAGUGAAAUGCGUAGAGAUGUGGAGGAAUACCGAUGGCGAAGGCAGCCCCCUGGGCCAAUACUGACGCUCAUGCACGAAAGCGUGGGGAGCAAACAGGAUUNGAUACCCUGGUAGUCCACGCCCUAAACGAUGUCAACUAGUUGUUGGGGAUUCAUUUCCUUAGUAACGUAGCUAACGCGUGAAGUUGACCGCCUGGGGAGUACGGUCGCAAGAUUAAAACUC